AAGACUAUACUUUUAGGGAUCAUUUCUAUAGUUCUUCACUUGAGAAAUGUGUUCUAAAAAGAUCGGUCUCACUAACCAUGAGGAGGAGUUAUAGCAUUUCCUUCUGAGCGUGAAGCGGGUUAGAAGCAUUGCUUUUUGCAGAAGCUUUUAACCAUUGAUGAUCGUUCUCUUUCCUUAUUAUAAGGAAAGUGGAGGAAGGAAAUGCAUUCUGAGUGGU